rnacentral:rRNA from 1 species
GAACGGGUGCGUAACACGUGGAUAACCUUCCUUCAGGUGGGGAAUAACCCAGUGAAAACUGGGCUAAUACCGCAUAACAUGACGAUGGCACAUGCUGUUGUCUUCAAAGGCGCAAGUCGCCAGAAGAGGGAUCCGCGGCCGAUUAGCUUGUUGGCGAGGUAAUGGCUCACCAAGGCAUUGAUCGGUAGCCGGACUGAGAGGUUGGCCGGCCACACUGGAACUGAGACACGGUCCAGACUCCUACGGGAGGCAGCAGUGGGGAAUCUUGCACAAUGGACGAAAGUCUGAUGCAGCAACGCCGCGUGGGGGAUGAAGCCUCUCGGAGUGUAAACCCCUUUCGACCCGGAAGAAUGCCCGCAAGGGUUUGACGGUACGGGUAUAAGAAGCCCCGGCUAACUACGUGCCAGCAGCCGCGGUAAUACGUAGGGGGCCAGCGUUGCUCGGAAUUACUGGGCGUAAAGGGUCUGUAGGCGGUGCGGCAAGUCGAUAGUGAAAUCCCUAGGCUUAACCUAGGGGCUGCUAGCGAAACUGCCGUGCUAGAGUGUGAGAGAGGCGAGUGGAAUUACGGGUGUAGCGGUGAAAUGCGUAGAUUCCGUAGGAACAUCCCGAG